rnacentral:ncRNA from 1 species
UCUGUGGAUCGUCAUAUCAAAUGAAAGUAGUUGUAGACAGUAAUGUCAUAACAAAAUCAGACGGGAUGAAACAGAAA